rnacentral:pre_miRNA from 1 species
UCAUGCCUGGCUCCCUGUAUGCCACGAGUGGAUACUGGUUUUAGCUGAAAAUCGGCUGCCGGUGGCGUGCAAGGAGCCAAGCAUGA